rnacentral:rRNA from 1 species
CCUGUGUGACUGCGUACCUUUUGUAUAAUGGGUCAGCGACUUAUAUUCUGUAGCAAGGUUAACCGUAUAGGGGAGCCGGAGGGAAACCGAGUCUUAACCGGGCGUUAAGUUGCAGGGUAUAGACCCGAAACCCGGUGAUCUAGCCAUGGGCAGGUUGAAGGUUGGGUAACACUAACUGGAGGACCGAACCGACUAAUGUUGAAAAAUUAGCGGAUGACCUGUGGCUGGGGGUGAAAGGCCAAUCAAACCGGGAGAUAGCUGGUUCUCCCCGAAAGCUAUUUAGGUAGCGCCUCGUGAAUUCAUCUCCGGGGGUAGAGCACUGUUUCGGCUAGGGGGCCAUCCCGGCUUACCAACCCGAUGCAAACUGCGAAUACCGGAGAAUGUUAUCACGGGAGACACACGGCGGGUGCUAACGUCCGUCGUGAAGAGGGAAACAACCCAGACCGCCAGCUAAGGUCCCAAAGUCAUGGUUAAGUGGGAAACGAUGUGGGAAGGCCCAGACAGCCAGGAUGUUGGCUUAGAAGCAGCCAUCAUUUAAAGAAAGCGUAAUAGCUCACUGGUCGAGUCGGCCUGCGCGGAAGAUGUAACGGGGCUAAACCAU